rnacentral:lncRNA from 1 species
GUCAUCACUUGCGUGGCCUCUCCCGGCGGAGUCUCGGUGCAGGGGGAGGGCGUCGUUCUCACGGGCGUUGGAUACGUUAAGGUAGCCUCCACAUUUCCAAAACAAUUUUCAAGUUGUAAACUGAAGGUGGAAACGCUAAAGCAUAAGAAACAUGCUCCAUGUGCUGCAUUCUGCAACCGUACCCCAGGCUGCACCAUCUACUGCAUGAAAGACAAUGUGUGUAGUCUGUACAAGGCUCGGGUGACCCAGAGUUGGCCAGGCUAUGACGAUGCCUCCGAGGCCAACACCUUCGCCUCAUGCUACUCCUCGUGGGCCUAUCGUAGGCAUCUCCCAUUUGACCACCGUGACUGCCACUUCCUAUUAUCGUUCCCGCUUGCCUUCCCAUGCCAACGAUGGCUUCUACUGUUAUAGUUUCCAAUCCGCUUACU